rnacentral:rRNA from 1 species
UACGUAGGGUCCGAGCGUUGUCCGGAAUUAUUGGGCGUAAAGAGCUCGUAGGCGGUUUGUCGCGUCUGCUGUGAAAUCCCGAGGCUCAACCUCGGGCCUGCAGUGGGUACGGGCAGACUGGAGUGCGGUAGGGGAGAAUGGAAUUCCUGGUGUAGCGGUGAAAUGCGCAGAUAUCAGGAGGAACACCUAUGGCGAAGGCAGCUCGCUGGGACGUUACUGACGCUGAGACGCGAAAGCGUGGGGAGCAAACAGG